GAAAAGCAGGGGACAGAAAUGCCUUGCGCUGAAGGAGCGGCCGAUGUCUGAUUAGCUAGUUGGUGGGGUAAAAGCCUACCAAGGCGACGAUCAGUAGUUGGUCUGAGAGGACGACCAGCCACACUGGGACUGAGACACGGCCCAGGCUCCUACGGGAGGCAGCAGUGGGGAAUUUUGGACAAUGGGCGAAAGCCUGAUCCAGCCAUGCCGCGUGAGUGAAGAAGGCCUUCGGGUUGUAAAGCUCUUUUAGUCGGAAAGAAAAGAUCGUAAAUAAUACUUGCGAUUAAUGACGGUACCGACAGAAAAAGCACCGGCUAACUACGUGCCAGCAGCCGCGGUAAUACGUAGGGUGCGAGCGUUAAUCGGAAUUACUGGGCGUAAAGGGUGCGCAGGCGGUUUUGUAAGUCAGAUGUGAAAUCCCCGGGCUUAACCUGGGAAUUGCGUUUGAAACUAUAAGACUAGAGUGCAAGAGAGGGGAGUGGAAUUCCAUGUGUAGCAGUGAAAUGCGUAGAG
rnacentral:rRNA from 1 species